rnacentral:rRNA from 1 species
GACAGAGGGGGCAAGCGUUGCUCGGAAUUACUGGGCGUAAAGGGCGCGUAGGCGGGAUGGCAAGUCGGUCGUGAAAUCCCUCGGCUCAACCGAGGAACGUCGAUCGAUACUGCUGUUCUUGAGGAUUGCAGAGGAGACUGGAAUUCCCGGUGUAGCGGUGGAAAUGUGUAGAGAUCGGGAAGGAACACCGGUGGCGAAGGCGG